UGUUUAAUAUUACUGCACUUGCGAAACUUAAGUAGGGAGGACGCAUCAACAAAGAUCACUAGGUGAUUGAAUUCCGAGGUGAGGCUACGGCCGAUCCGCAUGAUUGGAGUUGGUGCCGAGAAAAGCCCCUAUGUAUGCUAAGCAACCCGUACCGUAAACCGACACAGGUGGGUGGGUAGAAUAUACCAAGGCGCAAGAGUGAACCCUGGUUAAGGAACUCGGCAAAUUAGCCCCGUAACUUCGGAAGAAGGGGUGCCCCAUGAAAGUGGGGCCGCAGUGAAAUGGCCCAACCGACUGUUUAGCAAAAACACAGCACUCUGCCAAGACGCAAGUCCAAGUAUAGGGUGUGACACGUGACCAAUGCGGAAAGAUUAAGGUAAGGGGUUAGCCGCAAGGCGAAGCUCUGAGCCCAAGUCCCCGUGAAUGUCGGCCGUAACAAUAACGGUCCUAAGGUAGCGAAAUUCCUUGUCGGGUAAGUUCCGACCUGCACGAAUCGUGUAACGAGUUGGGCACUGUCUCAACCAGGUGCUCAGUGAAAUUGUAAUGGCGGUGUAGAUGCCGCCUACCCGCAGAAGGACGGAAAGACCCUAUAGACCUUAACUGUAAGCUGUCAUUGGUUUUUCGAUUCUCAUGCUCAGCAUAAGUGGGAGACGUUGAUGUGGGCCUUUAGGGGCUCGCGGAGUCAACAGUGAGAUACCACCCUUGGGUGUUGGAAGAUCUAACCCCGACCCGUGAAACCGGGCGGGAAACAGUGUCAGCCGGUCAGUUUUACUGGGGCGGUAUCCUCCCAAAGAGUAACGGAGGAGCGCGAAGGUGGGCUCAGCAUGGUCUGCAACCAUGUGUCGAGUGCAUAGGCAUAAGCCCGCCUAACUGUGAGACCUACAAGUCGAGCAGAGACGAAAGUCGGCCUAAGUGAUCCGGCGGUAGAAUGUGGAAUUGCCGUCGCUCAACGGAUAAAAGGUACCUUAGGGAUAACAGGCUGAUUUCGCCCAAGAGUUCAUAUCGACGGCGAAGUUUGGCACCUCGAUGUCGGCUCGUCGCAUCCUGGGGCUGGAGAAGGUCCCAAGGGUCCGGCUGUUCGCCGGUUAAAGCGGCACGCGAGCUGGGUUCAGAACGUCGCGAGACAGUUCGGUCCUCUAUCCUCUGUGGGCGCAGGAAAACUGAGGGGUUCAAUUCCUAGUACGAGAGGACCGGAAUUGACGCACCUCUGGUGCACCGGUUGUCGUGUCAACGGCAUGGCCGGGUAGCUAAGUGCGGAAGAGAUAAGCGCUGAAAGCAUCUAAGCGCCAAGCUCCUCCCAAGAUGAGUUUUCCCUGAAGGAUCGUGGAAGACUACCACGUUGAUAGGCCGGAAGUGGAAGUGCAGCAAUGUAUGCAGCUUACCGGUACUAAUCAUCCUAAA
rnacentral:rRNA from 1 species